ACAACGUGCUUUUUAAUUUUCUACUUUAAAGUUUGUUUUCUUCUAAUUUCUUCUGAAAGUUUACGCAGUUAACUGGUUUCAUAAGCUGUUAAAAUGGGUAGGAAAAAGAAAUCUCAACUCUUGCGGUCUGAAAUCAUGAAAAAAAAUCGAAAACAAGACUCGGAUUGUGAUACUUCGGUAGCUGCUGAAACCAAAGUUGUUAAAUGUUUGGAUGAGCGAAACAUAAUUUAUCCAGUGAAGAAAAACUUGCCUGAAGAAAUAAAUGAAAAUUACAUCAUUUUAAAACAGUCUGUAUUACAUGAUAUUUUAUUAAGUUGUUGUAUCUGUUGCUAACAGAAUACAUUAGAGCUUCACAUUGGCAAACAGUUUGGUUUGGCCCAAGACAUAAAUGUAACUUGCAAGAACUGUUUUUUUAAAUUUUCAAAGAACUCUUCUGCAAAUGUGGUUGAAAAUAAGAAAAGCUCAUACGAUAUUAAUCGCAGAACAGUGGUUGCUGUAACUGAACUGGGAAAAGGACAUGCAGGACUUGAAAAAUUUUCGUGUAUAAUGAACUUGCCUUCCAUGGAUUCUAAAUCGAAUAUGUCCCAGAAAACGAAUUAAAAAAUGAAAAAUGUCAAUAUUUGCCACAUCGUCUCGUGAAAAAAAUGCAAAGCGAAACCUCGAAGAUACGCCCUGUUUCUGACACUUCUGCCUGCGAGAAAGGAAAACCUUCCUUAACUCAUUGCAUGCUUAACGGAAUUGGGUUAAGUAAAGUUUAAAGUACGGUACCAAAUUUCAAUUUUUUCUUGGCGAUAUAUCGCCAAAUAUGGUGACCGGUGGCUAUCCUAUGACAACCCUAAAUUGCUCUGUUCUGCAAGGGUCAGGGGUCACUUUUUUCGACUUGUCACUCCGUAAGGGUCAGACGUUUGUUUUUUCUGUUCCUUUCGUCGAUAGGGUUAAUUUGUGAACACGUGCUUCUCGUGAUGGGUGCUAUAGGUAAAAAAUUGCCUCGUUUUCAAAUCCAAAAACAAGUCGAUGGCAAUGCUGGUUUGUAUAAUCUUUUUUUUUUUUUUUUGGACUUACGAAAGGCUCCGAAACUGGAUGUGAUCAAAUGGUGUAUGAAUGAGAAAUUGAUUGCUAAUGAUUAUGUGUGUUGUAAAUGUGGGAAAAAGAUGAAUUUGGUUGAAAGGAUUGAUUCGAAUGAUGGAUGGAUUUGGGUUUGUCGUGAUAGUGUGCACUACAUUAAAAGAUCUGUCAGAAAGGGUAGUUGGUUUUCUCGAAGUCAUUUAUCUAUCACCGAAGUCUUAAUCUUAUCCUAUUUGUGGGUGAAAGAGACACCCACAAAAUGGAUACUUGAUGAAUUUUCAUACUUGAGUAAACCAACUUUGGCUGAUUGAAAGAGUUUUUGUCCUGAAGUGUGUAUGAGUAUGCUUGUGUUUGGUGAGUAUAGUAAGAUUGGGGGUGUAGGUGUGAUUGUGGAAAUUGAUGAAAGCAAGUUUGGCAAAAGGAAGUAUAAUAGAGGUAAAAGAGUGGAAGGGAAAUGGGUGUUGAUCGAAUGGGCAGAAACGUUGAUCGAAAUUACAAAAAAAUGUUUUGCCAGGGAGCAUCGUCCCCUCGGAUUGUUGGAAAUCUUACAACUCGUUAACGGCCGAAGGAUACGUUCAAAAAAUUUUAAAGACCCUAUCACCGGUGUUCACACUAACAGCAUCGAAGGCACCUGGAGCGCCAUCAAAUCGAAAAUGAAAAAGGACGGAGCAAAUAAGUGCAAGGAUCAAUUUGAUUCGUAUCUUGCCACUUACAUGUUCCGCCGCACCUAUCAGUGCAGUUAUCGGGCACUAUUUAAAGUGUUUCUUCGAGGUAUCGGCGAGCUGUACACGCCGCAAACAUGUGAUUUGCCCGGCGAGGAAUCCCAGGCCAGUGCUUCUCCUGACGAGGAAUGACUAGGUUAUAUACACUCAAGAGCCAAAACAUUAUGACCACCCCUACAUUUUGCAAUGAACUCGCCUGAAUGACGUGACAGGUGGAAGUGGUAUUUAACUGCUGCUGGAGAGUCUGAAGAAUCAUUCUUUCACUUACUUCUGUGUGUGAUGGGAAAGGCUGAAGAUCUAAGCGACUUUGAUAGAGGGCAGAUUGUAAUAGCUCGAAGGCUCGGAACAAGUAUUUCCGAAACUGCACGACUCGUGGGUUGUGCGCGAUCUACAGUUGUUAGUACUUGUGCAAAGUGGAUGAAUGACGGUGAAAGCAGCAGUAGACAAUAUGAUGUUGGACGUCCACAUGCUAUCAAAGAAAAAGGUCGUCGGAGACUGUCUCGCAUGGUGAAGCAAAACCGGAGCCCAAUACAAUGCAGGGACAAGUAGAAUAGUAUCGGAGCACGCUGUUCAUUAUUAAAGUGCAUAAAUACUUGGCAAGAAAUUUUGCGGACUGCGUUCGUAUUUUCAGAGAGAAGACAAAAGAACAAGAUUGUCUUCAGUUACAGAAGCUCUGGAUAUUGCACCAAAAUGGGUGCAUUAUUAAAGACUGCUGUUCCUGAGGGACACGAUAUAUGUAGACUGUUCGGAGUCCAAUUUGGACGAAUCCUUCACGACUGAUGUUGGAUGCUCGGAACCAAUGAUUUCUGUGGAGGAAAGAGAGAAUAACUUUGUGCCAGAGCCGGAAUAUGUCGAAGAAAAUUGCCCAGUCUUCGGCAACCACUCUGCAGAAAAGAGGUGCUGAACAAAGCAAUUUCAAUCUAGGUCCUCCUCCCAAAAGACGCCGCCAAACAAAUGUGGGUGAAGAUGUUCUUAGAAUGGUGUCUGCGGAACUCAAAAAAAAGUGAUGCUUCGGAAUCUGUUCCCCAUGCUGUGGGACAACUUGUUGUCUCCACUUUAAAAAAAACUGGCACCACCGUAUGGGGAACAGUUCACCCGAAGAAUCUUUGAACUAAUA